ACAAGUGGGUUAUUAUUAUCACUGCUGUUAUUGAGCAAUCUAAAGUGUUGAAAAUAGCCUGGGCGUUCAGAUGAUAGAACUGCAUGCUUGACAUCGAACAGGUUGAAUUGGCCUCUUAAUUACACCUGGAGUUAAUCUUUAAAUUCUAUUCAAGACAUGUUUGGGUGUCGGAGAGAGAAAAUGAGACAGAGAGGGCAAAAGCAUAAAAACACUCAACCCACAAAGUAUUGCGAGUUCAUCCUUUAGCGAUGCCUGCAGGCAGUGGCAGUUGGAACGAACCGAGCCAGGAAGUCCUGCCAGCGGUUCACCAACCCCAAAAUGAAAAGGAAGCAUGAGAGCAGUCACCGCUGGACUCGGAGCAAUCCAUAAUUCAGAUCUCUUGAUGCGGGAGUUAAUUGCUGGAGAAGAUGCAUCACAUGAACCGUGUCUGACUAAGACAGAAGGGUUGAAGAGGAGACUGCCGUGAAGUUGAUGACCGCUAUUAAUAGCAUAAGUGAGCCAAAGUGCGAGAACCAACAUCCACCCUCUGGACCCAUAAAUCAUCUCAAUGCUUUACCUAGGAAGAACUGAAUAGUUUCUUAAGUGCAGAGGCCACGUUAUUGUCCCGCAGGAAUGUAUGCUUCCAUUUCUGUAACUUGGACAAUAAUGACAGAUGGUGUUAGAUGCCUCCCUCCUAGCUUAGCAGCCCUUGGACUAAUAACCCGGAGGCCAGUAGUGGCAAAGUCACAAGUUUGACUACAUUUCUCAGUAGCGUGGUGCCAUCGUUGUUUACAACACAACGGUAAAGUUACAUUUAGGAUCACAUAACUGUAUCGUCCACAGAAGCAACAUUUGCCCAGGCAGUUCUAAAUCUCUAUUACAUCUCUUCAGUAGCUAGGACGAGUACUACGUGGUAUGUGAAAAAUAAAAUAAAAAAUGAUAUCUGUGAGUUGUCUGAUAAACAAAACAGUUACUGAAUAUGCCCAACACAAAUUUGAGCACAUCCCCAUUUAGGUAUUUUGU